UUAUAUGUUUAUUAAUGUGGGAGUAUGGAUUUACGUCUACCGUUGUGUAUCGUACAUUCGGAGAAUAGUAAAUUUUGAGUUUCGGUGUUAAAAUGAUGUUUGGAAGUGUUGGUAGCGAUCGGGGUUUGAUUCGAUGAACGCUGGCAAAAAAUUUCAAAUUUGUCCGCGAUGUACCUGUACCGUGGUUUACCAGUACCGGUACAUCAGGCAAAAAUUUUUGAUUUUUCAGCACACGAUUCAGACACUAUAAAUAGACCUCUUAUGUUAUUUUCUCACUCAAAGGCCACGAACCAAGCCCUAAAAUCGCCCCUCUACCUUCUCUCUUCAAUCUCUCACCCAAAUUCUUGGAUUUCCACAUCAAACACCUCAAAAUCUUCAAGAUCUAUGGGUUGUUCAUCCUAAUUUCAUCCGGAAUCAAGGUUAUUGCGCUCAAAGAGGUCUCGUAUUGUAGCUUCGGAGGAGCUAGAUCUUGGUGUUUCAAGCUUGGGUUACUUAGGGUUUUGCUCAAAAUCCAUUGUGGUA